UCGAACUCCUGGGCUCAAGCCAUCUGCCCAAAGUGCUAGAGUUAUAGGUGCAAGCCACUGUGCAAAGCCAAAAGUUCACUUCAACCUGUCACUUUCCCCCCUCAUCUUCACCCCAAGCCUCCCUUCCGCCAAUGAAAUCAUCAGCAAGAUGCCUGAGACCGGAAGUCAUCCUGGGCUCCUUCCUCUCCUUCAUUCCAGUGUAUCCCCAGACCUUCUGUAAAAUCUCUCCUGAAUCCAUCCAGUUUUUUCCAUCUCCUCUGUCAACACCUAGUCCAAGCCACCAUUGUCUUUGGCAGGACUGUGGUAGAGGCCUAACUGCUGUCCCUGCAGAUAUUGCUGUUUCUAUUGUAACCCACUCUUCAAUUUGAAACCACAGAUCUUUUUACUAAAAUUAAUCAUUUAGUUUACUAAACAGACCAUUUUACUAAACUGGAUCUUGCUCUCCCACGCAUACGACCCAUUUAUUGACUUCCCAUUGCCCCAGGAUAAAAAUCCAAAUUCUUUAACAGAUCCUUCCCAGCCUGGCUCCCGCCUCCUCCCCAGCCUCCCCUGGCAGUGUGUGUUCCAGCCAUCUGGGACUUCUGUUAUCUCUGGGAUGUGCCAUACUCUUUCUGGCCUCCAAGCCAUUGCAUGCAUUUCUCUUCCAGGAAGACUGUUCCCCCUACUAUUCACUGGGACAGCUCCUACAUGCUCGUCCUGUCUCAGCUUAGCUGUCCCUUCUCAGAAGGUCUGCCUGGACUUCCUACGCCAAGUCAGGCCCCUGCUAGAUCCUGCAGAAUCCCUUUGCUUUACCCAGCAUUGCAUUCAUCACAAUGCAUCAUAAUCACAUCCAUCCAUAAUCGCAUAAUGCUUCCUCUCUAGACGAAGGCUACACGUGGGCAGAGACCUUUACCACCUAGCUUGUUCACUGCUGUCUCUUCCAUGCCCACCACAAGCUUGGAAUGUAGUAGGUGCACAAUAAAUGUUUGUGGAGAAAAGGAAGAAAAGGAGAGGAGAAAAAGAAGAAGGAAAGAGUGGAAGGGGGCAGCCCAACUUUUCUUUCCUCUGCAAGCAGAAAGUAACACAGCUAGCAUCUACUUCUUGCCAGAGGAGAAAAUGGGAGCUGAUGCUACCCACACCCUUUAUUGAGAACUCCCGAGGAAAGGCAUUUUCCCUUGCCCAAAGAUGUAUCCUCAGCGUUUAACUAAGGGCAGGUGUGCAAUAGAGAUUUUUGAAUGAAUUCACUCCUUCUAAGAACUUACUGACCUAGACUAUAACCAAAUGUACAACUAGCCAGAAAAGUGGUUUUUUUUUUUUUUUUUUUUUUGUAAGAAGACUUGAACAACUAUUUGACUUUUUAAAAGCAGGCACAUAUACAUAAACUUUAAUAAAAAUUGAAACCUAAAAGAAAAGAAUCAGGGGGGAACAUUCUCACUCAGGAGCCUAUUGUUACUGCCAACCAAAUCAGGGCAUGAACUUGCAAACAUGGGGCAUGUUGCCUAAAUGCGAUGACACUGCUUCAAAGUCCCAGAACCACUUAAAGAAAAUGCAGUUCAUCCAACUAGACUGAAAUGUAGAUUUUGUUUUCACCAUCUAGAGAUCCAGAAUGGGGGAGAAAAUGAGAACUUUGCAUCAAGAGAGCCCAAAUUUGGGUCCAAGUCCACCACUUACUGCAUGCAUGCCUUUGGGAAACUUAUUCCACCUCUUUGCUUUAUUUUCUUCCCUGUAGAAUGGGGAAACUGAGACCUGCUUUGCAGGGUUGUUUUGAAAACUGAGUAUAAAAUGUAAAGCACCUAGCACUGCCCUGACACAUACCAGGUGUUUAGUAGACUGCACUGUUUAAAUGCAAUUCAAUUAUUUAAAAAUAUAAUUGGGCUCACACAGAAAACAGGGUGCUCAUGAAAUAUUGCUCUCCUAGUGGGAAGAAGCAUGAUUUUUUUUUUUACUGUCCAAGAGGAAAACAGUGGCAGAGAAUAGAAAAGAAAUGUAAGGGAAAUAAAAGCAAGUGAUUUUGAUUUUCACUGGAUCUUAGAGUCACGCUGAAAAUUAAGCAAGGCUUUUCUUUUCACGUUUCUCCUUUCCCUCUGCUAUAGACUAAAUGUUUGUCCACACUCCCCAUUCGUAGUUGAAACCUCAUCUUCAAAGGUGAGUCCUUUGGGAGGUGAUUAGGUUCUGAGGACAGAGCUUUUAUGAGUAGAAUUAUUACGUUGGUGCAAAAGUAAUUGCAGUCUUUGCCAUUAAAAGUAAUGUGUGAUGAGCUGAUGAGCCCAGCUUCCGUGUGAAUUAAAAGUAAUGGCAAAAACCACAAUUACUUUUGCACCAACCUAAUAGCACCUUUAUAAGAGACCCCAGAAAGCUCUCUCACCUUCUUCUGCCAUGUGAGCAUUCAGUGAAAAGACAGCCAUCUAUGAACCAGGAGGCAGGCACACCCCAGACACCCACCUGCUGGCGCCUUGAUCUUGGACUUCCCGGUCUCCAGAACUGCAGGAAAUAAACUUCUGUUGUUGAUAAGCAUCCCCCGGGCUAUGGUAUUUUGUUAUAGCAGCACUCUCGCAGUGCUCAUGAGGAAGGCAGGGAAAUGGGGGCAGGACCUUGGCAGAAGGAAGAAGGAGCCUCAUUUAUCCAACACUGCUCAUCCCUCUAGUGCUUCUUUAAAAAGAAAUGAUAAAUAAAUUUACACUCAGCCAUUGAAAAAAUAUCAUGUUCUCUUAUUUCAAAGGCACAUUAUGUUCAUUUGGGAAGAUUCAAGUAAGCGAAAAGGAGAAAAAAAUUAUCCACAAUUCCACUGCUAGAUAACUACUGAAAACAUUUUGCCGUCUAGCUUUUCAACGUUUUUUCUAGGCAAUAUGUACAUAAACUAACACGUUCUUGUAUAAUGAGUGAGAUCACGUGGGGUAGUACAUGCUGUUCUGUAACCUGAUCUUUUCCAUUGAACAUCUUUCCCUGUUAGUCAGUGGACGUAUCUCACGGCACUGUGGAUGACCGUGGUGUACCCUGACGGGGGCUGGCUAUGUGACACUCUUGGUGGGUGCCCUCCCUGAGCGGAGACCUGUAGCUUGUUUCUCUCUCCCUUCCACAAACAAUGCAUCAAUGAAUAACUUUGUAGUCAAAUUUUAUACAACCCGUAAUUCUUCCUUCACAAUGAACUCUCAGAGUCAAUGUUAAUUUUUGUCAAGAGAAGAAGACAAUAAGACUGUGUUUAAAAUGUUUAAAUCAUCUGUGGGCCUCUUUGGUACAGAGGAGAGGGGGCUGUAACCCAGCUUGAUGCUUUUUAUUUCCGAUUCUGUUCAGCCUCCAAAUUUUAUCUCAAGUGUCACCUUGUUCCUAUUAGACAAACUUAAAAAGUGAACAAGACACAGCCCCUGUUCUUUGAGAUUAAUAUCUAGCAGCAGAAAUAAGAGACACAAUAACUUAUUAUUGCUAAUAAAUGAGUUUUCCUUCUCAUUUAGCAUAAAAGCACCUGACUUUUCAUCAUGAGAAGCAAGAGAACAAAGAUGGACAUAAGUAUUAGGUACUGUGGCCUGAAAACCAGCUUGCAGUCAUCCUCCACGCUGGGGUUCAUGGUGGCCAAUCGGUGUACCUACCACACACCUAUCGGGUUUCCUCAGAUUCCAGUGGCUACCUUGACUGUGGAGAAAGUGAGUCACUCCAGUGUGCACUACCUCCUUGCUCUAUUUCCACCUAAGCCCACUGAGGAACUGCCCUCUGUAAAUCACCAUGACCUUGGUGAUGGCUUUUUCUUUGGCCACCCUAUGUUGGCACAGUUUGAUGCUCUGGCCUGGUUCAAGUCUUUGUGAAUCCAGCCACCGGCAAGCCAAUAAGCCUUCUGAAGACUUCCGGAGGGGUCUCCUGCAGCUGAUGAGGCCCGCGUCCGUGUGAAUCAUACAUACUGUACAUGGAAUUGUGCGUGUCGUAAAAUAAACUUCAGAUUAUUCUCUAGA